rnacentral:rRNA from 1 species
CCUACGGGUGGCAGCAGUGAGGAAUAUUGGUCAAUGGCCGGAAGGCUGAUCCAGCCAUGCCGCGUGAAGGUCAGUGCCCUAUGGGCGUUAAACUUCUUUUGUGCGGGAGCAAUAUUGGUCACGUGUGGCCAGACGAGAGUACCGUACGAAUAAGCAUCGGCUAACUCCGUGCCAGCAGCCGGGGUAAUACGGGGGAUGCAAGCGUUAUCCGGAUUUAAUGGGUUUAAAGGGUGCGUAGGCUGUGAGGUAAGUCAGCGGGGAAAUGCCCACGCUCAACGGGGUGAAGUGCCAUUGAUACUGCCUAGCUGGAGUGCGGAUGCCGUAGGAGGAAUGUGUGGUGUAGCGGUGAAAUGCAUAGAUAUCACACAGAACACCGAUUGCGAAGGCAUCUCACGAGUCCGCGAUUGACGCUGAUGCACGAAAGCGUGGGUAGCAAACAGGAUUAGAUACCCGAGUAGUC